UUUUUGUUCAAUAUAAUUUUAUUAUUUUAUUUUAUUUAUUUAUUUUAAUAUGUAUAAUUAUUUUAUUAAAAAAUAAAUCUUUUGAAAGGAACAUAUAAAUUUUAAUUUUCCAUUUAAUAUGUUUUCAUAAUGUAUUAUUUAUUUUUAUUUAUCAAAAUAAAAUAUAUAUUAUAAAAGUGAAUAUUAUAUGUAUUUAUAUUUAUAACUCUAUAUAGUAACAUAUAAUUUGUUAUGUUCAUUUUAUUUUGUUAAAGUUAAAUAAUAGAAGUUUUUAUUUUUAUAUGAAUUUUUAUAUUUUUUGGCAAAUUAUUGAAGUUAGCACAAUUUACGACUAGCGAAAAAUAAAAUAAAAAAUAACUAGCCAUUUUGUAUUAUAUUAGCUAUAUAUCAUGAAUAUAAAGUAUUAGGAGGCUACAGCUUUUAUUUAUUUUUUUUUUUAUAUCCACUUUAAUGUAAACAUUUUGGGAAGCAAAUUUACCAAAAAACAUUAAGUUAUGUAAAUUAUAAAAUUUAGUACAUAUUUUUGAUAACAAAUAUACUUCCAAAAGGGAUUUGUAUUAUCAAGGUAUAAUAUACAAGGUUAUAAGAAUUACAAAAAAAGAAUUAAUUGCUUUAUAUUUGUUGUUGUAUUUUUGAGUUUUAUGUAUAAGUAUUUUUAAUUGAACACAUGAUUGGGAUGUGUAGAAUUAAUUUAGUUAUAUUAUUAUAAUGUAUGAACUUUUCUUCAUUAAUAUGUAAAGGAUAGAAUGAUGAUACAAAGAUAUAAAUGUGUGAAUUAAUUUAUUUUUUUAUAAUAUUUAUAAGAUUUUAUCAAGAAAUAUAUAUAUUCUUUAUUAAAAUUAUACUUUAGUUUCUCUAGUUUAUUAUGGAUAGACGAAGCAAAAUCUAUAUCACAUUAUUUUUCAAAACAAAUGAAAACUAUUAAAUGUAUUCUAUAUCUUCUUUUUUCCUUCUUUUUCUUUCAUUUCUAUUCUUCUUUUUUUUUUCUCUCUUUUUAUUUUCAAUAAAGAUGAAAAUAAUGUUUCUCAUGAAAUAAUUAAUUUUAGUAUUUUAUGUUAUAUGAAUAAUAUUUCGUAAAUAUAUAACUGGAAGAUUUUAUAGUCCAAUGAUUAUAUAAAAACUAAUAAAACUAUUUAAAUAUCACUAUUAACGAAGAAUACGGAUAAUAUUGGAAUAUAUUUUAUAAAUCUUCAUAAUUAUAUGAUGUAAUUUUAAAUGAGGAGAGUGUGUUUUUUUUUUUUUUUUUUUUUUUUUUUUUAUAUAUUAAAAAAAGAAAAGAAAUAAAAAUGUUAUAAUUUUGCAUAACAUUAAUUAAAUAUUAAGGUAUAAUAUUAUAUAUAAAUAAAUAUGUUAUUUUGAAGAAAAUAUAAUGUUAUAAAAUGGAUGAAUUUUAUGUUAAUAAUAUAAAAGGUUUACUCAAAUUAUUCAGAUAAAAGUAAUAUAUUAAACUUUUUAUAUUCAAAUAUAUUUUUUUUUUUUUUCAAUUGAUAUAUGAAGGUGUAAAUUUUAAAAUAUAACUAGCAUGAGUUUAAUAUGGUAAAUGAAAUAACAAACAUAUAUAUAUAUAUAUAUUUCAUUUUUUGUUUUUUUUCUUAUACUUCAUAUAUUUUUUUGUAUAUAUAUAUAUGUACAUAUAAAUAUAUAAUUUAUUAUGUCCCU